rnacentral:rRNA from 1 species
UACGUAGGGGGCGAGCGUUGUCCGGAAUCAUUGGGCGUAAAGCGCGUGUAGGCGGCUCGGUAAGUCCGCUGUGAAAGUCGGGGGCUCAACCCUCGGAUGCGGGUGGAUACUGUCGGGCUUGAGUGCGGAAGAGGCGAGUGGAAUUCCUGGUGUAGCGGUGAAAUGCGCAGAUAUCAGGAGGAACACCAAUUGCGAAGGCAGCUCGCUGGGACGUUACUGACGCUGAGACGCGAAAGCGUGGGGAGCAAACAGG